AGAUUGAGAUCCAAAACCUCCCAAGACAUUUUGGACUGGUGUUGGUUCAACCGGUCACGUGGGAAUAAGCUUGAUGAAUACAUCCUGAAAAUGGCUUUGGGGAUAAUGACAGUAUAUGGACGUGAUUGGACGGAGGAGCAGGUUCCCAUCUGAAGUCCAUCCAGAUGAUCCUUGAUAAGACAGCAGACGGUACAGGCAUCGACUCCAACACCCUAGCCUUACAGGUGAAGACCCAUCCUGAGCUGAGGGACAAGCUUCAUGUCGUCACCUCUUGGGGGACUUUGCCUGUCUACCCUGGGGUGGUCAACUCAGCAUUACCUGAGGAUCUCAAGACAUCUAUCACCAGGCAUCUUCUCAACAUGCAUCUCGAUCCCAAAUGGCAAGCUCAACUGAACCAAUACACGGUGUCCAAAUUUGUGCCGGUUACGCUGGAUCUGAACAAAGGAUUGUUAAAAUAAACAAACAAAUGUUCCAAUAAACCAAAAAGGGAAACCGACUAUUAGUGCAUUAUAAAAUAUAUUGCAUUAUUAUAAUAUGACAAUUGUAACAAAAUAACAAGACAGUGUUAUAUUUUUUAAAAAAUAAUGAUUAAUUCAUUGUUGAAAUCGGUACUCUUAAAUUGGACUUUGUCAUGAUGCAAUUUUGUGCUCUAAAUUAAAAAUGAAGUAUACAUAUUUUAUCAUGAAAAAAAUGUUGUUUAUAUAUUUUACUGAAACCAAGAGACUAGUUGUCAAUCUACAAGCUAUUGUCACAUCUUACUGUGUGUAAUGAGUUCGUUAGCAGGGCUCAAAUUUUGUGUGAACAUUUUGUGGACAACAGUACCUGAAAGUAUUAUUUACUGGACCAAUGUACAUUCGCAGUUAAAAUUGAAACACUGUUACUUAAAGCCAUGUGAAUCAUUUGCAAUGACCUGGAGAAGCAUUGAUUUAAUGACAAACUCUGCUCAAAGUCAAGAUAGGAGUGGUACCAAAUACCCUUGUAAAUUGAAAUUGUUUUCGUGUGGACGAAAACUGAGGUGGUGUUAAAGAGGGUGUCCACGGCACAUUUUAACAUUAUGCAUUAGCAAUGGAAUCCAGUUACAAGACACCCCAAAAAAGUGAAUGUAUUUCCUCGGUUUUCUUAAAACGUAUACUAUCCAAUCAGCCUUCAACAGGUUAGUUGUCAUGCACCCUGCUUCAGACUUUUAGCCAUAUUGUUGCUUCAAACAAAAGUAAAGGCACAAGAAGCAAAUAAUCAUAUGUACCUUUUAAGAAAGUUGCAGUCAUUAGGAUUAUACAAGAAGUGUAUUUCAUUGCUUCUGAUGGUAAAUGGGAAACAUCAAAUGUGAACAUUUUUAAUAGUCAAAUGAGUCUUGCAU